CCUACGGGUGGCAGCAGUGAGGAAUAUUGGUCAAUGGCCGGAAGGCUGAACCAGCCAUGCCGCGUGAAGGUCAGUGCCCUAUGGGCGUUAAACUUCUUUUGUGCGGGAGCAAUAAUGGUCACGUGUGGCCAGACGAGAGUACCGUACGAAUAAGCAUCGGCUAACUCCGUGCCAGCAGCCGCGGUAAUACGGGGGAUGCAAGCGUUAUCCGGAUUUAUUGGGUUUAAAGGGUGCGUAGGCUGGGAGGUAAGUCAGCGGUGAAAUGCCUACGCUCAACGGGGUGAAGUGCCAUUGAUACUGGCUGGCGGGAAUGCGGAUGACGUGGGAGGAAGGUGUGGUGUAGCGGUGAAAUGCAUAGAUAUCACACAGAACACCGAUUGCGAAGGCAUCCCACGAAGCCGCGAUUGACGCUGAUGCACGAAAGCGUGGGGAUCAAACAGGAUUAGAUACCACUGUAGGC
rnacentral:rRNA from 1 species